rnacentral:rRNA from 1 species
UACGUAGGGUGCGAGCGUUGUCCGGAAUUAUUGGGCGUAAAGAGCUCGUAGGCGGUGUGUCGCGUCGGCCGUGAAAACCUGGGGCUCAACUCUGGGCGUGCGGUCGAUACGGGCAUCACUUGAGUUCGGCAGGGGAGACUGGAAUUCCUGGUGUAGCGGUGAAAUGCGCAGAUAUCAGGAGGAACACCGGUGGCGAAGGCGGCCUACUGGGCCAGCACUGACGCUGAGGCGCGAAAGCUCGGGGAGCGAACGGG